GGCUACAUCACAUUUAAACAGCCGCUCCCAUUCUGAAGUUAAGCAACGUCGAGCCUGAUCAGUACCUGGAUGGGUGACUGUUUGGGCAUAGCUGGUGCCGCAAG